GCGACCUGCGGGUGGGAUAAGCGCUGAAAGCAUCUAAGUGCGAAGCCCGUUUCAAGAUAAAUUCACUCACUGGGUUAACCAGGUAAGGCCCGUGGCCAGACGACCACGUUGAUAGGCCGGAAGUGUAAGUGCAGCAAUGCAUUCAGCUGACCGGUACUAAUCGGCCGAGGGCUUGGAGUU
rnacentral:rRNA from 1 species